UGGUGUGUAGUUCAGUGGUAGAGCAUGUGCUUAGCACACACAUGGUUCUGGGUUCAAUCUCCGGCACAAAAA
rnacentral:tRNA from 1 species